AUUUAUAUAAUAUAUAUAGUAU
rnacentral:tRNA from 3 species